rnacentral:rRNA from 1 species
UACAUGGGGUGCAAACGUUGCUCGGAAUUAUUGGGCGUAAAGCGCGCGUAGGCGGUUACUCAAGUCGGAUGUGAAAGCCCUCGGCUUAACUGAGGAAGUGCACCCGAAACUGAGUAGCUAGAGUACUAAAGAGGGUCGCGGAAUUCCCGGUGUAGAGGUGAAAUUCGUAGAUAUCGGGAGGAACACCGGUGGCGAAGGCGGCGACCUGGGUAGAUACUGACGCUGAGGCGCAAAAGCGUGGGGAGCAAACAGG